UUCUGUCCAGCCUCCGGCUCUCUGGGGCCCCCAUGGCCUCCCCCUGCCAGCGCCCCCCGGACCUGGGGACCUUGUGGAGAGCUGGUGCAGAGUCCUGCAGGGGUCAGGGUAUUCAGGGGUCCGACGUCCACCUGCCGGGCGUCCUUGGCCAAGGCCUUGAGCUCCCUGCCUCAUCUGUACUACACGCCGUGGAGCUACUUCAUGAAGUAAAGCCAAGAUUUAAGGGAGUGCUGAGGGAGUCUGUGUGCUAGAACCUUCCUUCUCAGGCUGAAACGCUCCCGGUGCGGAGGGAGGGCAGCAGAGCCUGUGGGGGCGGCGCGGCCCACACGCGUUUCUGUAACUCCCGCUGUUCCCUCCGACCCGGGUGAGAAAAUGAGGCGACUUCCUGUGAUAAGUGAGCGUGACCGGCCUCGGACUUUCUGCAAAGCCUUAGUGGCAAAUGAAGGAAAUUAUCCCCUGGGUUAAUAAUGCAACUACCUCCAAAAUCGUUUGGAAUAAGAAGAAAGAUUGAUUAAUCCAUGAUUAAUAAAUGGAGCCGUCAUUCUGAUAAAAGAA